AAGAUACAAGAGGGAUAGCCAAACGCAUAGAUUGAAAAUAAUUAAUCUGACGAAGCCAUGGCUUAAAUAAAAAAGGCAAACAGAUAAAUAAUAGUACAUAAGACACAACAUACAAACUUAAAGACUAAGCAAAUCGAUUGAGAGAAAAUAAAUCUUAGCAAUAAACUAAAACUUGGGGAAAUACAUAAACUAUAAGAGGAAAACACAUGAACAACAGAAAAACUGAAGUGCAACAAAAACCAAACAACAAUGCAACACACACAGAAACAAACUAUCUGAUAACAACUGCCAUUUUCCUGACUUGGUACCGGACAUUUUAAAGAAAAAAUGGUGGGUUGAACCUGGUUUUGCAGCUAGCCUGACAUUGCGCUUUUAUGCCAAGGUAGAAAAUACCACUAAAACACAAC
rnacentral:lncRNA from 1 species